rnacentral:rRNA from 1 species
GACGAACGCUGGCGGCGUGCUUAACACAUGCAAGUCGAACGGAAAGGCCCUGCUUUUGUGGGGUGCUCGAGUGGCGAACGGGUGAGUAACACGUGAGUAACCUGCCCUUGACUUUCGGAUAACUUCAGGAAACUGGGGCUCAUACCGGAUAUGAUCUCCUGCUGCAUGGUGGGGGUUGGAAAGUUUCGGCGGUUGGGGCUGUACUCGCGGCUUAUCAGCUUGUUGGUGGGGUAGUGGCUUACCAAGGCUUCGACGGGUAGCCGGCCUGAGAGGGUGACCGGGCACAUUGGGAUUGAGAUAGGGCCAAGAGGGGAACGGGAGGAAGGAGUGGGGAAGAGAGGACAAUGGGCGGAAGGAGGAUGGAGGAACGCCGGGUGCGGGAUGACGGCCUUCGGGUUGGAAAAAGAUUGCGCGUGUGACGAAGCGUGAGUGACGGUAAUGGGGAAAGAAGCACGGGCUAACUAGGU